GCACUCCCACCUCGAUGAUGCCGGCCCAUGCGGAAGCAUACACUCCCACCUCAAUGAUGCUGACCCAUGCGGAAGCACGCACUCCCACCUCAAUGAUGCCGGUCCAUGAGGAAGCAUGCACUCCCACCUCAAUGAUGCUGACCCAUGCGGAAGCAUGCACUCCCACCUCAAUGAUGCCAGCCCAUGCGGAAGCACGCACUCCCACCUCGAUGAUGCCGGCCCAUGUGGAAGCAUGCAUUCCCACCUCGAUGAUGCCGGCCCAUGUGGAAGCAUGCACUCCCACCUCGAUGAUGCCGGUCCAUGAGGAAGCAUGCACUCCCACCUCGAUGAUGCCGGCCCAUGUGGAAGCAUGCACUCCCACCUCGAUGAUGCCGGCCCAUGCGGAAGCACGCACUCCCACCUCGAUGAUGCCGGCCCAUGUGGAAGCAUGCACUCCCACCUCAAUGAUGCCGGUCCAUGUGGAAGCAUGCACUCCCACCUCAAUGAUGCUGACCCAUGCGGAAGCAUGCACUCCCACCUCAAUGAUGCCGGCCCAUGUGGAAGCAUGCACUCCCACCUCGAUGAUGCCGGCCCAUGCGGAAGCAUGCACUCCCACCUCGAUGAUGCCGGCCCAUGCGGAAGCAUGCACUCCCACCUCGAUGAUGCCGGCCCAUGAGGAAGCACGCACUCCCACCUCGAUGAUGCCGGCCCAUGUGGAAGCACGCACUCCCACCUCAAUGAUGCCGGUCCAUGUGGAAGCAUGCACUCCCGCCUUGAUGAUGCCAGCCCAUGCGGAAGCAGCAUGCACUCCCACCUCAGUGCCAGCCCAUGUGGAAGCAUGCACUCUGACCUCGAUGAUGCCGGCCCAUGCGGAAGCAUGCACUCCCACCUCGAUGAUGCUGGCCUGUGCUGCUGCCCCUGACACAGCUCCUGCUCAUCUGGCUUCUACAUUAUACUUCUGGCAAGUCUUCCCUGAUACAUGCCCAGAUAUGGUUUUCCUGCCACCUUUCUCCAAGCUUUGUUCACUAUGAUUUGAAGAGUUCAACACAUCCUUGGGCCACAUGAGGCCUUCAUAAAAUGCCAGCUCCCCUUCUCUAGGAAUUGUGUUAAAGGCCAGUGUGGGCCACAGAAGUAAGAGGAGUGCCAGCCCCUGGAAAAUGUGAAACUGAGGCUGGGCUCUGAAACAGGAAGGAGCUAAGUAAGGGAAGGGCUGGAUUGAGAUAGAGGAGGUGGUAAGAAGACUGGCAUGUCUGGGGACCAGCCAAUGGGCAGGCUGGAUGGGUAAAGCGGUAUGAGAUUGUAACAGAAGGUGAGUGACAAGCAGAUGUUUGAAUCUGACUGCUUCCACAGCUACCCCGG
rnacentral:lncRNA from 13 species